rnacentral:rRNA from 1 species
GACGAACGCUGGCGGCGUGCUUAACACAUGCAAGUCGAGCGGUAAGGCCUUUCGGGGUACACGAGCGGCGAACGGGUGAGUAACACGUGGGUGAUCUGCCCUGCAAUUCGGGAUAAGCCUGGGAAACUGGGUCUAAUACCGGACAUGACCUCAGGUUGCAUGACUUGGGGUGGAAAGAUUUAUCGGUGCAGGAUGGGCCCGCGGCCUAUCAGCUUGUUGGUGGGGUAAUGGCCUACCAAGGCGACGACGGAUAGCCGACCUGAGAGGGUGACCGGCCACACUGGGACUGAGACACGGCCCAGACUCCUACGGGAGGCAGC